CCUACGGGAGGCAGCAGUGAGGAAUAUUGGUCAAUGGGCGAGAGCCUGAACCCGCCAAGUCGCGUGAGGGAGUACUGCCCUAUGGGUUAUAAACCUCUUUUGUCGGGGCGCAAAAUCCGGACGUUUCCGGCUGUGAGAGUACCCGCAUAAAAAGCAUCAGCUAACUCCGUUCCGGCAGCCGCGGUAAUACGGAGGAUGCUAGCGUUAUCCGGAUUGAUUGGGUUUAAGGGGUGCGGAGGCGGAGUUUUAAGUCAGCGGUCAAAUCGUGGGGCUCAACCCCAGCGAGCCGUUGAAACUGGGGAGCGAGAGUGUGCGAGAGGUAUGCGGAAUGCGUGGUGUAGCGGUGAAAUGCAUAGAUAUCACGCAGAACCCCGAUUGCGAAGGCAGCAUACCGGUGCACAACUGACGCUCAGGCACGAAAGCGUGGGUAUCGAACAGGAUUAGAUACCCGGGUAGUC
rnacentral:rRNA from 1 species